rnacentral:rRNA from 1 species
UACGUAGGGUGCGAGCGUUAAUCGGAAUUACUGGGCGUAAAGCGUGCGCAGGCGGUUUUGUAAGCCAGAUGUGAAAUCCCCCGGGCUUAACCUGGGAAUGGCAUUUGGGACUGCAAGGCUGGAGUGCGGCAGAGGAGACUGGAAUUCCUGGUGUAGCAGUGAAAUGCGUAGAUAUCAGGAGGAAUACCGAUGGCGAAGGCAGGUCUCUGGGCUGACACUGACGCUCAUGCACGAAAAGCGUGGGGGAGCAAAACAGG